rnacentral:rRNA from 1 species
GAUGAACGCUAGCUACAGGCUUAACACAUGCAAGUCGAGGGGUAACGAGAGGAAAGCUUGCUUUCCAUGUCGACGACCGGCGCACGGGUGAGUAACGCGUAUCCAACCUGCCCCCAACUAGGGAAUAACCACGCGAAAGUAAGACUAAUACCCUAUAAUUUCCUCAGAUGUCAUCUGACGAGGAAUAAAGAUUUAUCGGUCGUGGAUGGUGAUGCGUCUGAUUAGCUUGUUGGCGGGGUAACGGCCCACCAAGGCAACGAUCAGUAGGGGUUCUGAGAGGAAGGUCCCCCACAGUGGAACUGAGACACGGUCCAAACUCCUACGGGAGGCAGCAGUGAGGAAUAUUGGUCAAUGGGCGGAAGCCUGAACCAGCCAAGUAGCGUGCAGGAUGACGGCCCUUUGGGUUGUAAACUGCUUUUAUACAGGAAUAAAGUUAGCCACGUGUGGUUAUUUGUAGGUACUGUAUGAAUAAGGACCGGCUAAUUCCGUGCCAGCCGCCGCGGUAA